UUACAUACCUGGACGGGGUCAUGAUGGGUGAUCAGGAAGGCCCAUGGCCUAGGUUAGUGACUUCCAUUGCACAUUAAAGGAAGGGUGCUAGCCUAAGGUCGACCCAUGGUGGUCGAUCCUACGUCAUAAUUUGUGGCAGCGGGGGCUUGCGUCCGCGCGGCCCCUAC
rfam:Helianthus annuus linkage group 10, whole genome shotgun sequence.